GGAAUCUUCGGCAAUGGGGGCAACCCUGACCGAGCAACGCCGCGUGAGUGAAGAAGGUUUUCGGAUCGUAAAGCUCUGUCGUAAGAGAAGAACGUGUGUGAGAGUGGAAAGUUCACACAGUGACGGUAACUUACCAGAAAGGGACGGCUAACUACGUGCCAG
rnacentral:rRNA from 1 species